rnacentral:tRNA from 1 species
UGUAGCUCAGUGGUAGAGCUCUUGCCUGGUAUGUGCAAGGCCCUGCCUGGGUUCAAUCCCCAGUA